rnacentral:rRNA from 1 species
UUUGGUCUAGCUCCAGAUUGAACGCUGGCGGAUGCUUUACACAUGCAAGUCGAACAGCAGCACGGACUUCGGUCUGGUGGCGAGUAGCGGACGGAGUGAGUAAUGUAUCGGAACAAUGCCCUAGUAGCCAGGGAUAACUACGCGAAAGCGUAGCUAAUACCACCGCUCACGCCCUUCGGGGGAAAGCGAGACGGGCGGGCCUCGCGUGUAGAGCGGCCGAUAUCGGAUUAGCUGGUUGGUGGGGGUAACAGCUCGCCGGCGACGAUCCGUAGCUGGUUUGAGAAGGACGACCAGCCACGCACAGGACUGAGACACAGCCGAACUCCUACGGAAGCAGCAGUGGGAAUUUUGGACAAUGGAAACCCCUGAUCCGAACUGCAUCCGCGUGUGCGAUGAAGGCCUUCGGGUUGUAAAGCACUUUUGGCAGGAAAGAAACGGCACGGGAUAAUACCCCGUGCAACUGACGAGGCGCCUGCAGAAUAAGCACCGGCUUCAUACGUGCCAACAGCCAUGACAAUACGUAGGGUACAGAUUAAUCGGAAUUACUGGGCGUAAAGCGUGCGCGGGCGGUUCGGGAAAAGAAAGAUGUGAAAUCCCAGAGCUUAACACAAGAACUGCAUUUUUAACUACCGAGCUAGAGUGUGUCAGAGGAGGUGGAAUUCCGCGUGUAGCAGUGAAAUGCGUGGGAUAUGCGGAGGAACGCCGAUGGCGAAAACAGCCUCCUGGGAUAACACUGACGCUCAUGCACGAAAGCGUGGGGAGCAAACAGGAUUAGAUACCUGGUAGUCUGCCACGCCCUAAACGAUGUCAACUGGCUGUUACAGGGCCUUCGGGCCUUGGUAGCGCAACUAACGCGUGAAGUUGACCGCCUGGGAAACCACGGUCGACAAGAUUAAAACUCAAAGGAAUUGACGGGGACCCGUACAAGCGGAGGUUGGAUGAUGUGGAUUAAUUCAGUUACAGACGCGAAAAACCUUACCUACCCUUGACAUGUCUGGAAUCCCGAAGAGAUUUGAAGGUACUCGCAAGACGGAGACACAGGUGCUGCAUGGCUGUCGUCGACUCGUGUCGUGAGGAUGUUGGGUUAAGUCCGCAACGAGCGCAACCCUUGUCAUUAGUUGCUGCGAAAAGGGCACUCUAAUGAGACUGCCGGUGACAAACCGGAGGAAGGUGGGGAUGACAAUCAGAGUCCUCGGUUAUAUAGGUGGGCUUCACACGUCAUGCGAAUGGUCAGGACAGAGGGUCGCCAGGCCCCGCGAGGGGGAGCCAAUCCAGAUGUGAUCGUAGUCCGGAUCGCAGUCUGCAGCUCGACUGCGUGAAGUCGGAAUAAGCUGGUAAUCGCGGAUCAGCAUGUCGCGGUGAAUACGUUCCCGGGUCUUGUACCACACCCGUCCCGGAUGAGUUUGUAGUAGUUAGCCUAACCGUAAGGAGGGCGAUGGCCAAUGGGAUUCAUGAGCUGGGGUGAAGUCGUAACAAGGUAA